CCUACGGGAGGCAGCAGUGGGGAAUAUUGCACAAUGGGGGAAACCCUGAUGCAGCGACGCCGCGUGAGUGAAGAAGGAAUUCGGGAUGUAAAGCUCUAUUAGUAGGGAAGAAAAAGACGGUACGUGAGUAAGAAGCCCAGGCUAACUACGAGCCAGCAGCCGCGGGAAUACGAAGGGGGAAAGCGUUAGCCGGAUGUACUGGGUGUAAAGGGGGCGUAGACGGCAGGGCAAGUCGGGUGUGAAAGUCGGGGGCUCAACCCCCGGACUGCUCUGGAAACUGUACGGCUGGAGUGCAGGAGAGGUAAGUGGAAUUCCUAGUGUAGCGGUGAAAUGCGUAGAUAUUAGGAGGAACACCAGUGGCGAAGGCGGCUUACUGGACUGUAACUGACGUUGAGGCUCGAAAGCGUGGGGAGCAAACAGGAUUAGAUACCCCAGUAGUC
rnacentral:rRNA from 1 species